rnacentral:rRNA from 1 species
CCUACGGGGAGCUGCAGUGGGGAAUAUUGCACAAUGGGGGAAACCCUGAUGCAGCAACGCCGCGUGAGUGAAGAAGUAUUUCGGUAUGUAAAGCUCUAUCAGCAGGGAAGAAAAUGACAGUACCUGACUAAGAAGCCCCGGCUAACUACGUGCCAGCAGCCGCGGUAAUACGUAGGGGGCAAGCGUUAUCCGGAUUUACUGGGUGGAAAGGGAGCGUAGACGGCUGCGCAAGUCAGAAGUGAAAGCCCGGGGCUCAACCGCGGGACUGCUUUUGAAACUGUGUAGCUAGAGUGCAGGAGAGGUAAGUGGAAUUCCUAGUGUAGCGGUGAAAUGCGUAGAUAUUAGGAGGAACACCGGUGGCGAAGGCGGCUUACUGGACUGUAACUGACGUUGAGGCUCGAAAGCGUGGGGAGCAAACAGGAUUAGAUACCCCUGUAGUC